UACGCCCGGGCGUUUGGGGCGAGUUUUUUUUGUUGAGGCGUGUUGGGGCGUAAGCCCAGAAAACUUCUUCAAACUAAAACGAAAUUUGUUAAAUAAGUCCUUAGUAUAAUGCCCAAAUUCUCAAAAGUCAACAUGUAAUUACUCAAAUGUUUUAAAAAGGAACUGAAACAUUAAAUUUAAAUGUCAAGACCUUUUUUUAUUGCUAGAAUGCCUAAUAUAUGUUCUUUUCCAAUUAUUUAUCUUGUCUUCUACUAUCUCAAAAAAGUAACGAGCAGUCACUUGUACAUGUAAGUAGCGUCUAAUAGAUUGUUCUAGUUAGUUUUUUUGUGGGGGUGGAGCAUAUAUAUAUAUAUAUAUAUAUAUAUAUAUAUAUAUAUAUAUAUAUAUAUAUAUAUCACUUAUUUAUAGUUUUCUUCAAUUUUUUAUGCUAUUUCACCUAUUUAAAAGUAUUUAUUAUAAUUAUAUCAUUUUAUAAAAUAUUAAAAAUUAAAACCCCAUGGGGCUUACGCCCCGUGCCUCGGGGCUUACGCCUCACUGAGGCAGACGUAAAACGUCCCGCCUUACGCCCUCGCCUUUUAAAACACUGCUUCACACCUAAUGAUCUAAAAAUUAAAAUCCCUAAUCGACCUACCACACACACAAAAGCUCUUGUCAGUUGUCCCUCCAAUUCUCACUUUUACAAUUUCAAGGUUCUCUUCACUGUUAUGACUAAAUCUUGAUGGAUGUUGGUGAGCAAUAAGCCUUGAAUUUCUAGAGCAAUGGAGAACUCACUUGAGAAUGAGAAUGGAGUGACUGGACUGUCAUAAGCUUUUAAUAUUACUUGGUUGUAAACAUUAACUUAUUUUUCUGUUUAAGACUGAAUGUUGAAUGUUGCUAUUGUUGCAUAUUCUUUCUUCUCUUUGUUUACUUGUGCAGAGCUAACAAUUGUUAAGCCUUGGAAUUAAUUUUAAGCUGCUUAUCUU